rnacentral:tRNA from 1 species
UCCCAGGUGGCUUAGAGGUUAAAAGCCUCUGCCUCCAAUGCAGGAGACCCAGGUUUGAUCCCUGGGUCAGGAA